rnacentral:lncRNA from 1 species
CCAAUGUCCACACAUCGUUGACCUUCAUGGACUCCAUUUCGGAUUUCAUGGUCUCUAGUCAUUUCUCAGAGUCAGGUCUCUGCAUUGCAUCUAUGUAGGUGAUCGGAUCCUCAUCGUUUUCAUCAAGUUCGACAGGAUCUCCAUCCCGGACCAAGAAACCAUAGUAUCUGUCCGGUUGAUGUGGUACUCUACCAGACCACCUUAAGGGUGCAUAAUCAAUGGGCUCCGGAUCUGAUCUAAUCAAAUCCGGUUCAGGUUCAGUAACAUGUGUCAGUUUUUUCACCUGUCGAACUUCGUCN